GAAGACUUGAAGGUAUGCUGAAUCUCCUGAGGAUCACACCCAAAGAUUUAGGAGGUUUCCUUCCAACUUGGUAAUAUUACGAUUCUACAAGCAGGUUACUCACUGGUGAAUUUCAACAUGUUCAUAUGCCCUAUACAACUCCAGAUUGUCCAAGACUGAGGCCUGGGCUUUCUUCACGUCAUGCAUCAUGGGAAUUGCAGU